rnacentral:lncRNA from 1 species
UGUUUGCUCAAAUCAAACCUUUCUCAGAAGUAAAUACUACCUAUUAUUUCAUGUAUUGAUAGGAAGAGAUGUUGGGUGAUGUCAUCUAGUCUCUUGUAUUUUAUUGUAACCAGAGGUUGCAGAAAGAUUGACAGGGACUGUGUGUUUAGUCGUUUAGUCGUGUCCGACUCUUCGUGACCCCAUGGACCAGAGCACGCCAGGCCCUCCUGUCUUCUACUGCCUCCCGGAGUUGUGUCAGGUUCAUGUUGGUUGCUUCGCAGACACUGUCCAGCCAUCUCAUCCUCGGUCGUCCCCUUCUCCUUCUCAGAAGUAAACACUACCUAUUAUUUCAUGUAGGAAGAGAUGUUGGGUGAUGUCAUCUAGUCUCUUGCAUUUUAUUGUAACCAGAGGCCGCAGAAAGAUUGACAGGGACUAUACAGAAUCAGUUCCUUGACUUCAGGCUGCUUUGGAACAUGUUGACAUUCCGGACUAUAUAGAAUCAAUUCCUUGACCUCAGGCUGCUUUGGAACAUGUUGACAUUCCAAUGCCUCAUAAAGAGCGGAAUGUUCUUCUGCUUCCCCGGAGACAGUCCAGCCAAAGAAUCAAGGGUUCCCAUAGCCCAAUCGAGCAAUGCCACCACAAUGCCAGAACAACAACGACCGAGACCCCAGCUCCAAGCAAUAUUAAACACGUUUUAAAUGCUAGCAGUUAUUGACAAAGAGCAAACAGAUUUUGCCAUCAAGGUGAGCUUUCUGUGUGUGUCCCUCUGCAAAUUGUCACAUAUCCAUAUCCAUUCAUGAACCUGCUGUGUUUGAAAGUGAUAACUACAGAAUUAAAGCUAAAAACAAGC